UACGGCUAGAUCGCGUUGAAACAGCUGUUCCUGUAAAAUCACCGAAGUUAAGCAACGUCAAGUCUGAUCAGUAGCUAGGUGGGUGACCACGCGGGAAUACUAAGUGUUGGAA